AUUGGCUUUGCAGAGCUAAAAAUAAAUAAUUAAAUAAACAACAGUAGAAAGUAGUUGCAUCUCCUGAUGCUUCCCCCACAAAAGUGCCAGGCGAAACGGUUCAAGAGUGAAGGUGCGGUGGUUGUUCUCAACGUUUGAUCUUAGCUAUCUCUAUUUGAUAUAGAAGAUAAAUAUUUAUAUGAGUUAUAAAUAACAUAAAGAAACAAAAUUAAAAUAUUUUAGAGUUUAGACUUUAAGAUUCAAUUAUGUGAAGUUAAUCCAUUUGUAUUCUAAAGGCUUAAGAUCAAGCCCAAUCUAAUUCUCUUGGCACCUCCAAAUCUACUAACCAAGAUUUAUAACUCGCUUGCUCCUCUUGUAAUUAGACCCUAGAACAAUAGAAGUGGCUUUGAUGGUGAUGUCUCCUCAUCAUAUUACAGAGUGGGUUUUUGGUUCAUUUUCCAUUUAGUUAUCAAAUUUUUAGUUGUCUAGUUGUCGCACUUACCCCCAAUAUUUCUGAACAGUUUCGUUUAAACAUGACUUUGUUCUGAGUUAACUAGCUACUGUAUAGUCGUGAGCCACUUCCAGAUGGACGACUCUAUCUAGAGGUAAAAAUACCAUUAUUCUUUUCCCUGCCCAAAUAUUUGCAUAUUGUACUCUUUUUGUUUUCUUUACAAACGAUGAAGUCUGAAAAGCUAAACUGUUUAUGAAGCUUUGGGUUGGAUUGCUUUUUCUAUUUAUUUAUUUUUUUUAUUUCGUGUCUUCUAAAAGUAGCAGGACUUCAUAAUUGAUGAGCACUCUGCAUAAGGUGGGCAAUAUUUGUUUUAGUGACAACUAGAUGUAGAAAAUGCAUUUCAAAUUUUGAGCAUGCGGGAUCCAAUUAUCAGCCCUCAAGGGUGAAGAGGGCAGAGGUGUUUCCAUGAAGUAUAGCAUUUUUCUGUGUGUGUGCUUUUUUAUGUUUAUUCCUGUUUAAUAAAGUACAAUUUCUUGCAGGUUGAAAGUGGCCGUAGAUUUCGCAUCCUCCGAUCUUGGGAUCAAAAUGGGUAUCGUGUUGCAGAGGUUGAAUGGUUACAGGAUGGUCCACCGAAAAGGAGAGCACAAGUAUGCUUGUUGCUUUUAUCUUUUUCUUUCACUUCCUGCAUUAUUAUUUUUAGUUUCUUUUUUUUUUCAUUUUAAUUCCUUUGUUUUGUUGUCAAAGUGAUGCUGAGAGGUUAGAAGGCAGAAAAAGGUGGUUAAACCUUUUGUUACUGGGUUUUGAUCCAUUCAAGGGUCUUGGGAUUUAUAUAUUGUUGGUCUUUUGGCACAUAUACACACUUUUUGAAUUUGAAGAAAGUUACCUACUUUCUGUUAGUUCUUGUGUCAUUGAGAUUUCAUAGUACCAAAUGGUUUAUAUUAUUACAAGAAGAUAUAGGAUAUCAACCCUCUGUGUAUGUGGCUCAUCUUGGGGUUGGGGCUUCAUUUGAGUUGAGUUGUUCAUUGGUCACAUUAAUCAUUGGGUAAAAUAAGGAGGAUAGCUCUCCUCAAUCCCAUAAAACCCUUAUACCCCUUAUCCAAAUAGGAUUAAAACCUAAGAUCUCCAAGUGGAAAUUUCUAUGUUCAAAUUGUGAUGAGUGCUCAUCUUUUUUAUGUGUUGCAGUCACUUUGUUGUUUCAUUUCUGGAUGCUUUCAGUUACAGGAUAAUACAAAUAAUGCAGCAGAAUAUGCUUAAUCAUGGUUAAGGAGGGCAAAGGAAUCUGCUAGACGAGUUAAAGGCUUGAGAUGAAUGCCUUUACUUGUGUAAGCUCUAUUUAUUCCAUUAAAACAUAAAACUUGGUGUGUUUUUCAGAUGGAAGACUUUGAGUCAAGGUUUUUGUUAUUUUUAAUGAUUUUCAUAUCUGCAUCUGCAUCAAGAAAUCAUUUAGAGUUUGCCAAUACACAGAAAAGGAUUUCUUAUUCUAUAUUCCUGUUUUGUAUUUUGCAAUGUUUUAUUUCAAUUUAUGACAAAAUUCAUACAGAUCGAAGAUGACUUGAGAAACCAUACAACGUAGAAGUGAUGAUGCCCACACCACUGGAUCCAGAGCGCUUCAGUUUCUGGCUUGCUACAUUAUCAGACAGGAAGCCUUAUGAAAAACUGGAGCUCCUGCGCAUAAAGGAUACAGAAGAGAGGAUAAAACGAGGAUUGGUAUAUCUUAGAGCGGCAGAACAGGGCUGCAGGGUGCAAUAAUAAAAUUUGUAUUUGUAAAUUGAAUGCUCCAUAAGAUAUCAAAAUUUAUAAUCAGCAUUCUUUGAUCCACGUGAUUGUGGAUCCUAUGACCACAGAAAGAUGAUUCCGUAAA